rnacentral:ncRNA from 1 species
UUGCUCAUAUAUUUCCCCUGACCAAGACUAAACGGGGUUAUAAUUAGUCUUCAUCAUGCCUAUAGAUGCAAGGGUACUAUAGGAAAUCAAGUUCUGC